rnacentral:rRNA from 1 species
GAUGAACGCUGGCGGCGUGCCUAAUACAUGCAAGUCGAGCGAACGGACGAGAAGCUUGCUUCUCUGAUGUUAGCGGCGGACGGGUGAGUAACACGUGGAUAACCUACCUAUAAGACUGGGAUAACUUCGGGAAACCGGAGCUAAUACCGGAUGAUAUUUUGAACCGCAUGGUUCAAAAGUGAAAGACGGUCUUGCUGUCACUUAUAGAUGGAUCCGCGCUGCAUUAGCUAGUUGGUAAGGUAACGGCUUACCAAGGCAACGAUGCAUAGCCGACCUGAGAGGGGGAUCGGCCACACUGGAACUGAGACCCGGUCCAGACCCCAAGGGGAGGCAGCAGUAGGUAAUUUUCCGCAAUGGGCGAAAGCCUGACGGAGCAACGCCGCGUGAGUGAAGAAGUGCUUCGGAUCGUAAAACUCUGUUAUUAGGGAAGAACAUAUGUGUAAGUAACUGUGCACAUCUUGACGGUACCAAAGCAGAAAGCCACGGCUAACUACGU